rnacentral:lncRNA from 1 species
GGGGAGCUUGCACUUCAAAAAAAAAAAUCGCUGUUGGGAGACAGACAGGGUGCUGCAUUGCCAAUUCGGGGCAAGCCCACCUUGAGGAGGAAGGCGGGAUGGGGGUGGUACACACCUCAGAGUUCUGGCCAGAAUUCUUGUUUUGCUGCCGCUGGGUUUUUCCCUAAGCAGAACAGGUUUUUCUCAGGCCAGCCAGGCUGCCAUGAACUUCUGGUCCCUUCAAGCAGUAAACACCACCAGCCACGGGUUUCAAUCUGCACUCUGGCGCCUCUUCCUCGUUUUCUUUCAAACUGCGGGUUUGAAAAAUUGGAACGCUCGGACUGGAGAGGAGGCUCGGAAUUAAGAGCACUCGCUGCUCUUGCAAAGAACUCGAUCCUGGGAUGUGCUGAGAUCUCCACUGGUGCCUACAAAGAAACACAAAUUCAUCAUAUCACAGUUGCAGCUGGCUUACAAAACCAGAGAUGCUGUUUCUCCAUCUUCUAAGGACCCCUAUGCUCAAGAUUGUCAACUGGACGGGAUGGAGAUGGAAAUUAGUAAAGCACACAGCCAGGUGUGCCUGAGAGGCUGUUUCAAAGGAUGAUUAAGGUUUCUGUCUGUGCCUGGAGCUGAUCCUGUGCCACAGCACUCCAUACCCAAAUAUUGCCAGGAGAGAGCUGUCUCCAAGGAAUGCUGGCACACCGUUGAGCACAGCCUCUUUUGAAGACCUCCCCUGUGUCCCAUCCUUCCGGGCUGUCCUCCUGAACUCUGUACUGAGUGUUGUUGGUCAACUGGAUUUCUGCUGUCCUCUCAGGAUGUGUGGAUAACUGAAGGGGAGCCCAGCUCAGGCUUGAGUUCAGAAAAUCUUUCCAGGACUCUAAUCACCUAGGAUUUCAUUUCAUCAAAGGCAUGUUCUCAUCUGUCAGCCCAUUGUCCAAGCCCACCCUUCCAGUUCCUGUAAGUUACCUUUGGGCAAAAUAAAGAUAACAUUUAU